GAGGUCCCAAGCAGUGGCGUAGCUGGCUCAAAAUAAUCGUCCCGCCGAAGUUUCAAUACAUCUCCAUUUAAACAGGAAUAUUUUGCCUUGCUAAGGAACCCCAUAGCCCGAUGCACGUGGAAAUCACGCUACACGGGUAAUUUGACCUUUAGAAUCGAUUUCCGACGUUUCCCGAGUGCUAGCAUUGUUUUGGAUAUUUGAACUUGAACCUCCGGUCAAAGCUCUCGCGUAAAAUUUAGAUAUUUUGAA
rnacentral:lncRNA from 1 species